GGGCGAUUAGCUCAGUGGUAGAGCACUGCCUUCACACGGCAGGGGUCACUGGUUCGAACCCAGUAUCGCCCAC
rnacentral:tRNA from 1 species